rnacentral:rRNA from 1 species
CCAGCGGCGAUGCUACGCCGUAUGGGGGAUGGUUCGGCUAGAGCGCUGAAGAGGGUCGUGUCAAGCAGCGAUAUGCGUCGGGUAGGUGCAAGAAGCCUAUGAUCCGACGAUUACCUAAUGGGACUUCCUAUUCUUCGGAAUAAUCAGUAAUGAUUGGGAACGCGGGGGAUUGAAGCAUCUUAGUACCCGCAGGAAAAGAAAUCAACAGAGAUACCGUUAUUAAAGGCGAUCGAACGCGGUAUAGGGCAAACUGAAUCCCUUAUAGAAAUGUAAGGGAGAUGUGGUGUUGUAGGCUCAUUUACUCCUUAGCUCGAAUACUCGAACUUGUCUGGAAAGGCAGGCCAUAGAGGGUGAUAGCCCCUUAGAGGAAGGUGAGUAUGGAGAUUUUUGAUGUCCUUGAGUAGUCUGUGUUGGAUAUCACGGAUGAAUUUGGGAGGCAUUCACUUCCAACCCUAAAUACGUCUCUAGUCCGAUAGUGCAGUAGUAGCGUGAGCGAAGACUGAAAAGUACCCUUAACGGGAGGUCAAAAGACCUGAAACCAUACGGUCAAAGAUUUAUAUGGCAUCAAAGGGAAGAAACCAAUUUGGUGGACCAGUGUUAUAUUGUUCGUUUCGAAAAACGAUCCAGGGAGUUCUGGUCAUUGGCGAGGUUAACUAUUCAAUUAGGGAGCCGAAGGGAAACCGAUUGUCCGCAGUUUUUUUACGAGGGACAUCGUGUGCUCGCGAGGAGUCAAUGGU